AGCAAAACACCAUCCAACACAUCUGACUUUCCAAAGAACCCUUAGGUUUCUACUUCAAUUGUGAGCUAACAUUUACCCUUUCUUCCCUCACUUGCCUCUUGCCAGGGCAUUUUAUCACAGGAGCAGAAAUGAAACUAGAACACACCUUCCUCCAGGGCCCCCCACUCAAUGAGCAACAGCCCAGGUAUGCUCCAGAGAUGCCCAUUGAAUGAUGAACUUCAUUCUGAGUUUCAAGACUCUAUUGGUAGGCUAAGAUGGGGGUGGGCAGAGGCUGAGGCUGUGCUAGCAUGGACAAACACUAUCUGAAGGCUAAGACUUGUAGGAGACUGAAGACAUCAGCAGAGGAUUGCUGAACUUUUUAGUCACCAACUUGCUAAUGUCAGCUGUUGAGGAGAUGCUCUUUCGCUUAGGAAGACGAUUUGCUCCUUUUGUAAGACUGGUACAUUAUGAUGUCAUUGAAACAUCCACUGUGUUGGCUGGUUUGAUUCCAAAGUACAGGACCUAUAGGAUGCUCACUGCUGGAAAUAUACUGAAGGAAUAGUAUUGAAAGUGUGGAAAGGGACUAUCAUAAUAACCCAGUAGGAUACAUGUGAACUUGCAGAGCUGAAAGGCUGUUUCAGAGUAAAGCAAUGACUGUGUGAGCUAUUUGUGACAAGCUUCUCUUGUCAUAGAUUCUAUGAGAAGGGUUUGACUUCCCAUGAAAACUGAGUGGUUCAGAAAGAGAAUUCAGAGGCAAUGCAGAUAACACUUUGCUGUUGGAAAAAGUGAAACAGAUCUCUCUCCAUGGCAGGAGGCCUCGACUAACUCAGUUCAAGGAGAGUAGAGAACCCAGAAGCCAGAGCCUUCCCAUCAGACACAUCUCGGCAGUGUAGCUUGGAUGGUCUUUGUGAAGACUGCUUUGUCUGAAGUGAUGCCAGGUUCCCCUCUUACCACGUACAGUAUGUGUUUUAGAAGACACCCCAGUGAUUGGGAUUCACUACACAGAGGGAGGAGAUCUGUCAUCACUCAUACACUCGGUCACCAGUGUAAGAUGCAUCCCAGCUGCUGUGUGUGUGUUCCAUGGAUCCCUAAUCUUUCAGGUACCAAGUUGUCAUCAUAAUUAGAAGGGGAAGUGAUGUCAUUAAUCCUAGGCCAUAGCAGCUUCAGUAGAAAGGACCAGUUUCUUUUCUUUUCUUUUUUUUUUAAAGAUUUAUUUAUUAUUAUAAAUAAGUACACUGUAGCUGUCUUCAGAUGCACCAGAAGAGGUCAUCAGAU
rnacentral:lncRNA from 1 species